UCCAGAAAAAAGUGCUCAUUCAAUUAGUAGUUACGCUUCUCAGGACUGACAGCAAAUCGUCGACGAAAGAAAAACCAAACAAUCUUCGUUUUCCUUUUCUGUUUCGAUGGAGAUUUCUUCGAUUAUAUUCUUCAUCUAUAUUUCUCAAAUCGGAAGCUGUCGAAAAGGAGGAGAUAGAGAUGAAGAAGAUAAUCUUGAAUCUAAUUCUUGAAUUUCCGGGUGUAAAUGGUGAGUCACUGCAGUACAAAUAGAAUAGUGAUGAUACUGACCAUGAAUUCAACUACUGGUUUGUCUUAUACAAAGGUCAAGGUCAUCCAGCUCCCAACUCUCCACCAUACUUUGGACCUUCAAGGAAGUUGGAUUUUGAGCUAGAAAUGGCUGAUGUACUAGGUUGGCGAAAGAAGUUAGGAGAGUCUGUGGAUGUCAAUGACACAGCUGAUUACAUUUUUGGUCUUGGACAGUAGGUUGAGUCCAGUAGACCUAAAAAUGGUAGUCAACAUGUAAUGUCCAGUAGCUCACUAGUUCAAAGAAUAAUUGGCAGCAAAAGUCUUUUGAUGUGAUUCAAAACAGUAGAUAUCUUAUCGGAAGAAGAUUCUUUGCUGCACUCUAAUGACUGGAAGGAGCAAUCCAAUUCUUCAUGAAUAAAUACGACUAAGCACUAGAGACAUAUCAAGAAGGAAGGACUAAAACAUGGCCAAAAUAACCAGGAAUUGAUGGAUGGUGUAAGAAGAUGUGUGGCACGAAUUCACAAAACGAACUGUGGUGAUAUCACUGCUGAUGAUUUGAACGAGAGACAGGCCAAGGCUUUGCAGGAUCCAGAGAUCUAGAAUAUUUUAUCCAUCCAGUCACGAGACUGGUUCAUAGUUUACUGAAGGAUCUUGAGCAUAAGGCUGUCAGUAAGACUGUGAGGGAAGCUGGUGUUGAUGACGAGGGUGAAGUUAUUGAGAUCUCAAAAUGUGAAUGUAUAAUAUGGCUUGCAAAAGGUAAUAAUAUUAUGUGAAUGAGACUUUCACUAAAUGUUUGUGAAGCAGACUUUGUCCGCACCGAUAAUGAGAGGUAUGUUUUAUAAUUCUAAUAUGCUGGUAUCCUUGGUCUGAUAUUAGUCAGUCUUACAUAAUGCUCAGAAUAAUUAUACUGUAUAAUCCUAGUGAUCUUCUUAAAUGCAAUAAUGGAUGCUUUUCUAGCAGUUCAUCUUUUGCAGAAUUGUUGAUUUAGCUUGACACGGUCUCUUGACAUUCAGGUUACCUUCCUUCUAUAAGUGUACAUAUUGGUGCACCUGGAAUACAAGUGUACAUAUUGAUGCACCUGCAACAAGAUGAGUAAAACACACACAAAAUGUUGGAAACGCUCCACUUUGUUGCAAAAACUUCUGAAAUGUUAGGCCGCACGAGCUUGCAAUUUUUACAAGACAUGGUCGGUCAAAUUGUUGUUCCGAGGAAAAUAUUUGCACUAUCAUGAAACAUGAAGGCAUUUGGAUCUCUUAUGUUGCAACAUUUUUUCCGCUAGGUUUGCGGAAAAUUACGUGGACUGUGGUAUCCAUCCCUUAAAAUAAGAAUUUUCAGUUUGUUUCCAGCAUUUAUGGUUUCAGCUACUGUUGGUGCUGAGCUUAAGCUCCAAAUGUUCGGUCGCGUAAUUCACCUGAGUAUGGAAUCAUCAAGAUGUGAAGCAAAGCUUUACCGGAUUAUCACCUGCAACAUAUGGAUGGGCUAUCUACAAGUUUAAAGUCACAGGAGGGCUAUCUACAAGAUGUAUACAUGUGUUUUACACCAGUGUGGACUAAGAUUUUUAAAAAAUGAAAAUUAUAUAGUCAUAUGAGUACUUUUUUUGUAGCUUUCGGAAAGAGCUUUCCGAAUAUAUAAAGUUUGUUAAUUUUAGAUAAACGGUUCGAAAGAUA